GAUCCUGGCUCAGAAUCAACGCUGGCGGCGUGCCUAACACAUGCAAGUCGCACGAGAAAGGGUAGCAAUACCUAAGUACAGUGGCGCACGGGUGAGUAACACGUGAAUGAUCUACCUCCGAGUGGGGAAUAACUGAGAGAAAUCUUGGCUAAUACCGCAUAACACUUACGAGUCAAAGCAGCAAUGCGCUUGGAGAGGAGUUCGCGGCAGAUUAGUUAGUUGGCGGGGUAAUGGCCCACCAAGACGAUGAUCUGUAUCCGGCCUGAGAGGGCGCACGGACACACUGGAACUGAAACACGGUCCAGACUCCUACGGGAGGCAGCAGUGGGGAAUUUUGCGCAAUGGGGGAAACCCUGACGCAGCAACGCCGCGUGGAGGAUGAAAUCCCUUGGGAUGUAAACUCCUUUCGAUAGGGAAGAUUAUGACGGUACCUAUAGAAGAAGCCCCGGCUAACUUCGUGCCAGCAGCCGCGGUAAUACGAGGGGGGCAAGCGUUGUUCGGAUUUAUUGGGCGUAAAGGGUGCGUAGGCGGUUUGGCAAGUCUUGUGUGAAAUCUUUGGGCUCAACCCAAAGCCCGCAUAAGAAACUGCCGGGCUUGAGUAUGGGAGAGGUGAGUGGAAUUUCCGGUGUAGCGGUGAAAUGCGUAGAUAUCGGAAGGAACACCUGUGGCGAAAGCGGCUCACUGGACCAU
rnacentral:rRNA from 1 species